CUGCUCGCUUUGACAGCACAUACACAAAAAUUGGAAUGAUACAGAGACGAUUGCAUGGCAUGGCCUCUGUGCAAGAAUGAAAUCUAGCAGGAAAUAUGUUUGUUUUAU